UAUAUCAAGGGAUAUCCCAAAAUGACACAGCCCUCAUGGAAGCAGACUUGGAUGAUGAUGCCUCCAGCACCAGCAAGGUGGGUCGUCUUGAGCCACCUCCAACUGGAAUGGAACCCAGCCCGGCCAGUGGGGAUGUAAUGACGAGGGUAACUCAGCUUGUCCUGAAACCAUCUGCACCUCCUCCACCUCCUGCACCUCCUGUGCUCAAUAGCGCUCUGAAUUCUGAUAACCACAGAGUGGCUAUAGCCUACGAGGAGGCAGUGGCAGCAUACAAGCGAAUGAGCGCUGCAUACAUUCAAUCAUUAGAAAACCAAAGUAAGAGGUAUAGGAAAAAUAGCAUCAUUGAGAGUAUAUUUAUAUAUAUUUAUUCUUACUUUUCCCCCACAGCUUAUCCUAUGUUUAUAGUGAAGUGGUGAUCAUAGUAAAUACUAAACACAUUUCAAUUCAGAAUAACAAAAUUAUAACGUACACCACAAAAUUGCAGUAAACGUGGAAAUAUUAAUUUACUCAUAAUGCAAUGCUUCGUAUUAAGUCAUGCUUGGUACCUGCACCCCACUUUACAGCUUGAUUAAUCUCUGCACCACAUAUAUGUGCUUCUUGCUGUGUCCUGCUUAAUCAUUUUACAAAGGCGUCAUAUGGACUGAAGUUUUGUUUUCUUUCCAGACAGAGGUCCAUGGCAGCCUAAUAAAUAAAUACAAUUGUGAAUUUGGUUAUUUUUUCAUCCUCCUUGAAAAAAAACUUUAGCGUGUGUGAAGGAAAGUGACCUGGCGUAGUUAGGUGGAGGUGACGCUAGA